rnacentral:rRNA from 1 species
UACGGGGGGAGCAAGCGUUGUUCGGAUUUACUGGGCGUAAAGGGCGCGUAGGCGGCCUCCGCAAGUCAGUUGUGAAAUCUCCGAGCUUAACUCGGAAAGGUCAACUGAUACUGCGGGGCUAGAGUGCGGAAGGGGCAACUGGAAUUCUUGGUGUAGCGGUGAAAUGCGUAGAUAUCGGGAGGAACACCCGUAGCGAAGGCGGCACUCUGGGCCGGUACUGACGCUGAGGAGCGAAAGCGUGGGGAGCAAACAGG